AUAAGUGAAGUGAAACAAAUAUUUUCCCGUAUUGGGACCACCCUGCGGGUUCUUGGAUGGCGAAGACCUGGAGGCGCACUCGGAAGCACAACCUUAACUGGAACUGGAAGCCCGAGGGGAGUAAGGAGUGUGUAAAGUGUCACGGCUGCGGAUCUAAGACCAGACCCUACCCUGAGAAUAGCUUA